UGCAUUGCCAGAAGUUCUUCCAAUAGAGCGCCGAGGAGGCCUUCCUAAACUUACCAAGCCAUCAUUUACAGAGCUGAUAUCUAUUCUCUCACAUUUUGACGCCCUAACUAGAGAAUUGAGUGCCUCAAAAGUGCCCACAUUAUUUCUAAAGCCACUGUGGAAGAAAGAGUUGAUGAAACUCUUAAACGAAAAGUCAAAGGAUAGAUCGAUUUCUGCUGCUGGUCAGAAGGUGGCCAGUAUGCUCAUGGACAGUGUUGAGAGCAAAGUACAACUUCAAACUCUGCAUUUUUGUGCGACAAUUUUGCACCCGCAGUUAAAAUACUUUGUGCAAAGAGAAUACGGAGCAGAGUGCCACAAUGAAGCGGCAGAUUUCCUUGAGUCAAAAAUGAUGCCAGACUGCGCUCAGCAUUUUCAAGAUCUGCUAGGUGAUGGCAUAGAGGACUGCCAGCGACAGCCAAACAACCUAUUAGGAAAUUCCUCAUCCGAGCAGCAGAUCCCGAUGAGCCAUGUUAAUAUUUGGGAUAGAAUCCAAUCAUACGGUUGUGGCAGUUCCAGCAGCGGCCUUUCUGAGGAUUUUACUGCAUUUACCUCCCACGCUGAAGAACUGGCAUCGUGGAUGUGUGUACCAGAGAGAAAAUUGGAGGGCAAAAGUAUCCUGAAUUAUUGGAGGGAACAAAAACACCAUCCAAUUUUGGCUGCCACAGCACUUUUCAUCCACAGUAUUCCGUGUUCCUCAAUCCCAUCCGAAAGGCUGUU